GUUCCUGACACCCCCACCCCAUUGCCCACCUGCCCAGCCCCAGGGCCCCUCAGCCACUUGCCUCCAGCUCCGGCCUAGGAUCGGCAGCGAGGCCUAGGAUCGGAGCAGCCUGCAAACUGCAGAGCUCUUCUCUCCCCGCCUCUCAGCUGAUCGGCGGGUGGGCCGGGCUUCCAGAGAGGCCUCCGAGUAGGCCUCCCUGAAGCCUGAACUCGGCAGGCCCCAGCAAGCCAGGAAGGAGGCUGGCAGAGCUCCCUGCAGCAGACCCUCCCUGCAGCAGACCAGACCAUCCAGCACAGCUUUUGCAAGGAAAUAAAAGAAAAGUUUGCUGCCUCCCCUGGUCUGAGCUUUGUCUUCUCAAGAACAGCUUCCAAACCUAAUCCUGCCUGUAAAGUAGGCGUAUAUAAUUUUCCAGAAAUUGUAGAUCAGGGGGCUGAGAGAUUAUAGUUUUCCAAAGGCCAACUGGUAACUUCAUGACAAGAUCUGAACCAAGGAUUUCCUGUUUCAUAGUUCGAGGGAUGCAGCUAGGUCCUGAACAAGCUCUGAGACAGGCUUCUACUGGGUGGUUGAUUUCCGGCAUGAGCCAGCACACAGUGGAGGAGGGCCAGGAGCAGGUGUGUUCAUAGAUAGGCUGGGGUUGGUACCAGAAGAGCACAGAAAGCCAGAGAAAAGUGUUGAAGUCAUGGACAGACCAGGGUUGGAUGACUUCAGGCGAAAGAGAUGACAUCAGACCAAAGAGAUGACAUCAGGCGAAAGGCAGGAGGUGUGAUCAAGGACAGGCUGAGGUCAGAGAUCAGAGUGAGAGGUUUCCACAUCUAAGAAGUUCUGUCAAGUACUUCUUGAAUAAUCCUAUUUGGAAAUACUGGUUCAUGUUCUCAGGACUGAAGCUAGAGGAUUCAUUGCUGAUUUAUGCCUGCUGAAGAUGUGUCCCUUUGCUUCCAAGCACAGCAGCAGUAGAUGGGCACAAUUUAAUUUCAAACUGUUAACCCAGGUGGAUUGAAAAUUGGCGUUAUCUCCCAUGGCUUAUCUCCAGGGACUUGGAAGGUUUUACUUAAUCUGAGCAUUGGCUUUUACAGAUGGCCUCACACAAGCACCAAAGCCAGCGCUUUAUCUGAAAGCAAGGCUUGGCUCUAUAAAGAAACGAUGUGGCUUCAGCAGCAACUGACACUCCACAAUAUACAACAAAGAGAUCACAUUGAUUCAAUUAUUAAAUUAAGGA